rnacentral:lncRNA from 1 species
GAUUCCGGCUCCAAGCCCAAUCAUGAUUCGCGGCCUUAACAUCCCACAUUUAUAUAGUUGAUCCCGGUUUUCCUAAGUCUUUAGAUGCUAAGUCCAAUUUCAUUAAGUGAGGUUCAAGAUCAAUCAAUCCUAUCAAGUGAAUAUAAGGGGCAAAUUGAUUGUAUACAUAUAAUAAAUGAGAUCCAUACAUCAUUCAUAGAUUCAUACUACCAGAAUACACACUUAGUCUAUCAUGAGUUCACAAGUUGCACAAUAGGCUAUCAAUACUUCACACUUAUCAAUAAUGACCCAUUCACUACACAUCUUCCCAUGGCCUGAGUCUUCACGGUAUUUUUCCUUUACCGCGGUCCAAGUCUGAUCCUGAAACCAUACAAACCACAUCAUAAACACAUAAGACCAAUAACCUAAUCAUCAAAUCUAGAAUCGCAUGGUUC